rnacentral:lncRNA from 1 species
CCAUGGCUUGCACCAUCUCCUAAUGGGCCUGAUGUAGUCGGCUGGUAUCUCGAUCCAGAGAUGCUGUCCUGGAUACUCGCAUCUCCAAUGCUCUAGAGUGAGGUUCUUCGAUGGACCUCGCCCUCGCCUCACUAUCGAUGAAGACUGGUCUGAAACAAUAAUAAAUAAAUCAUUAGUAUGAUCCAAAUAAAAGAAUCAAAUUUUAUUAUUUUAAAAAUAUAAUAAUACACUCAUUGAGACU